GAGGGAGGAAAGGGGGGAGGGAGGAAAGGGAGCUGGGGAGAGCGAAGCAGGAGGCGGAGCGGGCAGUUAUAAAAAGAGGCGCGAAGGAGGCGGGGUGGAAGCAGCCCAGGGCAGGGCAAGGAGCCGGCGCACCGGUGGGUUAAGGGGACAUACCCCCUCUGGUGAGACAGGUCCGGGAGACUCUGUCUUUAGGGCCCUGGGUUGGGGUCUGGGAGUGAGGGUGGGCCCAGACCCCCCACCCCGCACAUCCAGCGGAACAAACUUUGGGAGCAGCUGCCAAUCACAGCUAGGGAGUGUUAAAAAGAUAAAGGCCAGAGAAGGGGGUGGGACCGGACCCCCACAGUUCAGUAUGAUGGCAUUAUGGUCUAGCACGCAAACAAUGUAGUUUAAUAUCUGAACCUGAAAUAUAGGUCAUGUGAUGUAUUGUUGCUAAAAUUACAGUAGAAUUAAUUAUGUUAUAAAGGAUAUGAUUAUACUAGGGAGUUAUUUCAAAAUAAUCCCCCUUAUUUCGAAAUAACAAGUAGAGCAUCCACACUACCAAGCUUUGAAAUAAGCGGCUGGUUGUUUCGAAACAACAACUUUUCACGAGGAAUAAACCUUAUCUCAAAAUCGCUAUUUUGAUAUAGCGGUAGUGUGGACACUCCACUGCUGCAAUUUAAAAACAACUACUCCCCAAUGCUUCCUGGGGCUCUAAGUUGAGAUAUUGUGUCCACUAAUUUGAGAACAGUUAUUUCAAGGCACUGUUCCUCUUAUAUUUUGGACUCCUCUGGUACUAGAGACCUGGGAGAACCCUGUCUCUAUUUUUCACGCUCAGAGGAUUGUGGGAGUGAACCUGUGACUUUGAUUUCAGGAUUUCUUUUGUUUUAGCAGGCUUUUGUCUGCCCUCUGGGCUGGUAUGGCCAUCUCUGGGGGAUAGAGACCUGCAUUUGUUGUGGAUUCUGAGGAUUAAACUCAUGGCCAUAGGAUGUAGAUUUCGCCUCCAAACUCUGCCUCUUUGGAAGAGUGUGUUCUAGCUGUGGGGAAGGUGACUGGGUUUUAAAAUGGUAGGUAUGCCCUUAGGUGCUGACUUCCACCUCUAGCUGGAGGAUACUCAAGCCCCCUCCACCCCGGGCCCAGCUCCUACUCAACCGCUGUCCCCAAACCUCCACCCCAUUCCACCUCUUUCCUAUGUCCCUGUUCCAUCCCAGCCAUGCCCCAUUCCACCUCUAUCCCCAAGCUCCUGCCUCCACACCAUCUCUUCCCAUUCUCCUUCCCUGAGUGCAUCCCAUCCCUGCUUCUUCCUCUCCCUCCAGGAGUAUUCUGAAUGCUGUGAAACAGCUGUUCACAGUAGGUGAGAGGUAUUGGGAGGGAGGGGGAACUUGGGUGCCAUUGGGUGAGGAGCACCAAUGUUCCCUCUAAUCUUUGCUACCCAUCUAUUUUUUCCAUCUAUGUGUGGAAUAAUGUUUUAUGUGUGAACAUGCACCACCAGUAGAAACGAUAACAAAAAAAAACCUAGCAGUGGGCACUCUGCUAAUCAGUGUGGGGGCAUUUGAAUUUCUUCUGAGUGGCUGCACAAGUGCACAGCUUAUAGGGAACACUGCUGAGUACCUACCAAUUUUUCCCCAGGGGUGCCCUAGCCUUAGAGCACUCAUGAAGUCAGCACUUAUAGGUGUGCCUCCUUUAUGAGAAAGACUGUUGUGAACUGGUUGCCAUGCUUAGCCUCAUUGAGGAGGUGGGUGUAGAGGGAAUUGUUGCGCGGGUUGGUUUUGACCCUGUAAUGCUUCUCUUAAUAUAUGCUGUUAAAGUCAUUGUCAAUGGGCAGGGGGAUAGGGUUUUGCUUAGGAACCUUUUUGUUAGACCCCGUGUGCCUCAGUGUUGAGGUAUUAUCUGGUUUCUAUCAAAGCCUUUUUAAGGCUGGGAGAUUUUUUUAAGCUGAGGCCACAUGAGAGGUAGCUGGAGUUCUCAUGGCUGCUUGCUGUGAGGAUUUCUCAUCCCAUUAAUUUAUUUUAUUAAUUUUACAUGGGUCUCAGUGGAUAUCUAGCUGCCAAGUUUGGGUUUCAGUUGGUUCAUUGGGUUUCUUGGUUUUUGUCAGCGAUGGAAUCAACCAUUCCUAGGGACAGCAUUGCCAGGCUAUACAGCUACCUCCUAGAGUGAGCUAUUCCUGAUCAUACCCAUGUUUCUUUUUCUUUCCUGUGACUCCUGCUGUGGAUGGCGAUGUUGAGAAACCCGGGAGCUUGCUUGCCUUUGAUGGGUCUUCUGAAUUUACUCCUAAUAUCUUCACAGUCAUAAGUCAUUGGAUAUGCUCAUGAGACUAAUUGAGGAAGACAAGCUCAGACAAGCAGCUAACAAGGAGGUUGCAAGCUCUUCUACAUUAGUAUCAUUGUGAAAGCUCUCAAAAAAUCCCUCCUUCAAGUACAAGACUUUGUGAAGUGAUUCAUUGCCUGUGGCAGAAAUGAUGCUGUUGAGGCAGUAAGAGUUGAAAUCAUUUGAGACUGAUGGGCAUAAGUCAGAGCCAAGAAGUGGAUGGCAGCAGAUGGUGAUAGAGAGCCUACAAGGUGGUGGCAGAGAGACGUGAUAAGCAGCCAACAGGGCAACAAUGGAGAGAUGCAAUGAGUGGCCAGCAGAGCAGCACCAGAGAAGUCUGAUGAAUGGCCAAUAGGGAGGCAACAGAGAAAAAUGAGCAGGGGAAUGGCAAGUGACCAGCGGAACGCUGUGCCUGCGAGUGGGGAAGCAUUGCCUCCCAGAGAUGCCCAGGGGUGGUGUGUGAAUUUCCCAGAUUACUGGGUGGAGAUUGAAGCCUGUUCUGUGUCGGAUGGAUGGAGAGGUACCCCUAGAUAUUGAACCUGAUCGUGGCUGCUGCUGACUCCAUCUGACAGAAGGAUUUCUUGUUCUGGCACCAGCCCAUGUUGCCAGUGAAUGCCUCAACAGAAAGAGAUACUUUCCAUGUUUAUACAAGCACUAGUGCAGUGAUACUCAACUAGACCUACCUGUAGGCUGAUUUCAGAAUUUUAUGACAGGAGGCGGGUUUAUUUACACAGAAGGCUGACAAAAUCAAAAACAAUACAAAACCCUUCAGUUGCUAAUAAAUAAAGACCUUGACUGCAACAUAAAUAUUAGUGUUUCUAUCUUUUUCAAAGUUUAUAGAUCACCAUUAUUGUCUGUGAUUGUGGCAAUCUGUAAUGAGGGAAGUUAACAUUGAAGAUCUCUGGCAAGCUUUGUGAAACGUGAUUUGGAGGAAUUCAGACUAAGGCACUGGUGAAGAUGCUCAUCUAUCAAGUGAUCGUGGAGAUAUUUUUUAUAACGUUGAUUGUAGAAAACCCAGAUUUGCAAAGGCAACCUUCAAACUAAAUCUCUACACUUCUGGGCAGGAGAUUGUGAAGAAUCUAUUCCUCUGGGCAGGUUCUAAUCUUAUGAAUAUGAUCCCUUCUGUUUAACUUGGAUGCAAAUUCAUCUGCAGCAACUUGAACACAUCCUGAGACAUGCAGAAUUUUGUUAGAUUGCCUCUACAAUGAGAGUACCAGAUCCAAAGCUGUCAAGUGUCAUACAAUGAUUGUCAGAGAGAUUCACAUGGCAUGCCAUAAGGGACAGAAGAACAGCACUCCUAUUGGAUUUUUGGAGCUGGUCUCAGUUAAUAGGACUUGCCUUGUGCCCAGACAGGGGAGAAAGCUCAAGUCUUAAAAAAAUAAGCCCUGGAAGUCACAAUUUCAACCACAAUGAUAGUUGUAACAAACUUUUUUUUAUUGCAUACAUGAAAGAUGCUAAAUACACCACAUGCUCAUUCAAAAUUUGAUGGGAUAAAUCAAAUGAUAUGUAACAUCCUCCAGAACUACUUUUGUAUCCCCCCUUUAAGACUUCAUAACUACAACUAAGUAGAUUGACGUCACUCAAUGAUACAUAUUGAAUGCCAUGUAAUAUGGCCUCUACCCCUGGAACCACUUUGAAAAUUCUCCCCAUUUCAAGUCUCUGGAGUUUUUCUAUGUGGCCUUUCCCCACUCUUUUGCAAUUUUUUUUAACCUAAUGGUGUAUGCAGCUUUGACAUAAAAUAAAAUAGUAAAUACUGGUACCCAACCAGAAAUCAAAAGGAUUGUUUCCAAGUAGUCAUGGAAGAAACCAUCUAAAAUACCAAAUUUAUCUUUGAAUAUCAAGUUUGGUUUUCUUGCAAGCAACAGAAAAAUAGGACAAAAUCCCUGUGUACUUUGUCGCUUAUAGCUGCUUCACCCACAGAAACAAAUAUCAAUUAUUCAUUCAUGUCCAGUCAGACUGACUAGCUGUACAAGCCAUUGGCCAGAGCUUCCAUGGAGGGACCAGUUAUGCAUCCAGUAAGGCAGCGACACCAUCUCCUCACAGAGCCUCCUCUACCUCUUCUGUUCCUAGACCCAGCCCAGGUGUGUCUGGGUGUGUCUAGACUACAGGGUUUUGUCGACAAAAGUGGACUUUUGUCGACAAAACUAUACCUGC